GCCUAUGGCCAUACUUCCCGAUCCUGGAAGCUAUGCAAUGUCGGGCCUGGCUAGUACUUUGAUGAGAGAAUUCCUGGGAAUACCAGGUGCUGUAAGCU
rnacentral:rRNA from 1 species